rnacentral:rRNA from 1 species
GUAAGGAAUAUUGGACAAUGGACGCAAGUCUGAUCCAGCCAUGCCGCGUGAAGGAUUAAGGUCCUCUGGAUUGUAAACUUCUUUUAUAAGGGACGAAAAAAGGCUUUUCUAAGUCGUCUGACGGUACCUUAUGACUAAGCACCGGCUAACUCCGUGCCAGCAGCCGCUGUAAUACGGAGGGUGCAAGCGUUAUCCGGAUUCACUGGGUUUAAAGGGUGCGUAGGCGGGCAGGUAAGUCAGUGGUGAAAUCCUAGAGCUUAACUCUAGAACUGCCAUUGAUACUAUCUGUCUUGAAUAUUGUGGAGGUAAGCGGAAUAUGUCAUGUAGCGGUGAAAUGCUGAGAUAUGACAUAGAACACCUAUUGCGAAGGCAGCUUACUACGCAUAUAUUCACGCUGAGGCGCGAAAGCGUGGGGAUCAAACAGGAUUAGAAACCCUUGUAGUCC